rnacentral:rRNA from 1 species
UACGAAGGGGGCUAGCGUUGCUCGGAAUCACUGGGCGUAAAGGGUGCGUAGGCGGGUCUUUAAGUCAGGGGUGAAAUCCUGGAGCUCAACUCCAGAACUGCCUUUGAUACUGAGGAUCUUGAGUACGGGAGAGGUGAGUGGAACUGCGAGUGUAGAGGUGAAAUUCGUAGAUAUUAGGAAGAACACCAGUGGCGAAGGCGGCUCACUGGUCCGGUACUGACGCUGAGGUGCGAAAGCGUGGGGAGCAAACAGG